GGAGGAUCCAAGCGUUAUCCGGAAUCAUUGGGUUUAAAGGGUCCGUAGGCGGUCUUGUAAGUCAGUGGUGAAAGCCCAUCGCUCAACGGUGGAACGGCCAUUGAUACUGCAGGACUUGAAUUACUGGGAAGCAACUAGAAUAUGUAGUGUAGCGGUGAAAUGCUUAGAGAUUACAUGGAAUACCAAUUGCGAAGGCAGGUUGCUACCAGUGGAUUGACGCUGAUGGACGAAAGCGUGGGUAGCGAACAGGAUUAGAUACCCUGGUAGUCCACGCCGUAAACGAUGGAUACUAGCUGUUGGGCGCAAGUUCAGUGGCUAAGCGAAAGUGAUAAGUAUCCCACCUGGGGAGUACGAACGCAAGUUU
rnacentral:rRNA from 1 species